AAAUAACCCAGGAUCAGCAAAAUUUAUGCAAAACAUCCUGCUAGAAGAAGAAAUGUAAACUAAAACCACUUACAGCGAGACUCGGGCUGCCAACUUAAUCUGAUUCUACGACGACUGUAAACACGUUGUACUUUUGGAACCUGAAGCGAUCCAUAUUAGCAGAUGUCAUCACAGCACAGAGUUUCAGGUCCUACCAGUUGGACACCAGAAGUUCAUAGAACUGACCCAGUGCCAAGAACAACAAGCCCAGAAAGCGAAACGGCUGCCUCGUGCGCCGUGUUUUCGUUAACUGUUUAUGCAAGCCCCAGACCAAUCGGGUAACAAUUAAGAAGACAACCGAACUUAAAUAACAAAAGCAGAAGAUUACCACCUUGAAGGAAAUGGAGAUGUUUGGCAGAUAAAGGACAGUUCAAAGGUGGGGUGGGUGGGGGGUUUUCAGAGAG
rnacentral:lncRNA from 1 species